UCUGUUGGGUUGUUAUUUUUUCACGGUGGCUGCCUGCCAGAUAUUGGUGAUUUCUAAUUGUAGCUCAUCUCUGUGGUUUGGAUCCUUUGCCAGAUCCUUUACACUGCCAGGCCCUCAGCCAUCCUUGUGGGAGCUGGAGAAACGGCUAUUGAGAGUUAAAUUCUUCAAUGAAGAAUGCAAUGAAAAGCAAGGUGAAAAAAUCAAGGGUGUAUACAUGUAUCCCACAUUCAGGGUGUGACUGUUUGUAAGCAGAUGUGCCUUCAGAUGGCCCACCAGGUCUGCAGAGUCUACAGAAAAAUGAAAGAUCACUGCAUACCGAGUAUCAUCUCAACUCAGAGACAUCCCUGCCACGCGGCACACAGAUUUAUAACUCUGGGCAAAGGUUUCAACAAAUAUGAUUUCUUCAGUCCAAAGUCCAUCUAUGUGCAUUGCCUGAAAUACAGAGCAGUCUGUGAUUGUCUGCUAGUCUCUAAUCCCAGGAGCCUUGGCAGCCGAGGCAGGAUGAGUUCCUAAAACUCUGGAGACAGAGAUGGCUCACACAGGCUGGUGCUUGUGUAGGGGUGUUCAUGCAAUUUAUUGCUCUUUUUUCGAACUGACAUAGUGUCUACACCGACACAGCCCAGAAAAAAGAAACUAUUGUAAAUGAAAGAUCUAAAAUUUGUCUAUUGUAAAGGAAAAGAUCAUAACCCAAAGAUUUGAUGAAAACAUGCUCCUUAUCCAGACAGUCCACUGUAAUGUUUCAAUUGAAGAGUUUCACUCAGAGAAGGAGAAUGGGUUCAAACAAACAAACAAAAGACAACAAGAUCCAGGGGUUAGGUUUGAUGGUCUUAAACACACAAGGACGAAGACAAAACUUCUGAUUCCAUAUCGGCGACCUGGGUACAUGACCUGGGAUGUACCCAGGUCAGAAUCUUCAAAGGCUAUAUUUCGCUUUUCCAUCCACCUCUUCCAUGAAGACAGGCAAUAGGGAGGUACUUGAAUUUUUUCAUGUCCUAUGGCUGUCACUGAGCAAUUUGUUUCUUAAGUAUCUCCCAUGAACAUGGCUGAAAUAACAAGUAAAACUCACCCAGGUGCCCAAUUGGAGCAAUGUACUUCUAACGUCCAAAGUCCAUGUGAAAAUGUUAUCUGAAAAAUAUUUGACAUGAUGCAAUGAUACUAAACUCACUCUAAUGAGCAGUCCUGUAAAAGGCAUCCAUUUUGGAGCCCAGGCCAGAUACGAGUGAAACUCAGUAGUAAGAAGGACAAUCUGACUUUACCACAAGGUCUUACGGCAGAGUCCUGGUAUGGUGUUAACCUUUGGAUUACCCAAUCUUGGGAAGGAGCCAAAACUGGCCUGUAGAACGCCUGAAAAUGAAACACUACCCAUCAUAGGUGGGAAAGUACGUCUGCCUAAGUAACUCUGAUAAGAGGCCCUCGAAAAUGGAAAACCACAAAAACGCCAAUACUAUAGCUCUUGAGAAGUUCCUUGUUUAGUGGGAAAAGGAGAUAAAAUAUAAAAUGCUUGGGACUUCCCUAGAGGCCCAGUGAUUAAGAAUCUACCUGCCAAUGCAGGGGACAUGGGUUCAAUCCAUAUUCUGAGAAGAUUCUGCAUGCCUCAAGAGAACUAAGCUCAUCUGUUAGAACUACUGAAGCCUGUGUUUCUAGAGCCUGUGCUCCAUAACAAGAGAGGCCACCACAAGGAGAAGCCCAGGAAUCAGAAGUAGAAAAAGCCUGUGUAUAGCAAGGCAGACCCAGUGCAGCCAAAUAAAUUAAAAAAAAUUUUUUUUUAAUGUUGUUUUUGUUGUUCAGUAGCGUCUGACUCUGCAACCCCAUGGACUGUAGAACAUAGGGCUUCUCUGUCCAUCAACUCCCAGCACUUGCUCAAACUCAUGUGCAUUGAGUUGGUAAUGCCGUCCAACCAUCUUGUCCUCUGACAUUCCCUUCUCCUCCUGCCUUCAGUCUUUCCCAGCAUCAGGGUCUUUUCUAAUUAGUGGGCUUUUCGCAUCAGGUGGCCAAAGUACUGGAGCUUCAGCUUCAGCAUCAGUCCUUCCAAUGAAUAUUCAGGAUUGAUCUCCUUUAGGUUUGAGCUGUUUGAUCUCCUUGCUGUCCAAGGGACUCCCAAGAGUUGUCUCCAAUAUCACAGUUUGAAAGCAUCAGUUCUUCAGUGCUCAGCUUUCUUUAUGGUUCAACUCUCACAUCCACACAUGACUACUGGAAAAACUAUAGCUUUCACUAUACAGACCUUUGUUGGCAAGGUGAUGUCUCUGCUCUUUAAUACAGUGUCUAGGUUUGUCAUAGCUUUUCUCCCAAGGAGCAAGCAUCUUUUAAUUAAUUGCAUAUAGUCACCAUCUGCAGUGAUUUUGGAGUCCAAGAGUAUAAAGUCUGUCACUGUUUUCACUGGUUCUCCAUCUAUUUGCCAUCAAAUGAUGGGGCCACAUGCCAUGAUCUUCGUUUUCUGAAUGCUGAGCUUUAAGCCAACUUUUUCACUCUCCUCAUCAAGAGGUUCUUUAGUUCCCCUUUACUUUCUGCCAUAAGGGUGGUGUCAUCUAUGUAUCUGAGGUUGUUGAUAUUUCUCCCUUGCAAUCUUGAGUCCAGCUUGUGUUUCAUUCAGCCCAGUAUUUCACAUGUACUCUACAUAUAAAUUAAAUAAGCAGGGUGACAAUAUACAGCCUUGACAUACUCCUUUCCCAAUCUGGAACCAGUCUAUUGUUCCAUGUCUGGUUCUAACUGUUGCUUCUUGACCUGUAUACAGAUUUCUCAGGAGGCAGGUAAGAUAGUUUGGUAUUCCCAUCUCUUGAAGAAUUUCUCACCAUCUGUUGUGAUUCAUACAGUUAAAAGCUUUAGCAUAGUCAAUGAAGCUGACGUAAAUAUUUUUCUGGAAUUCUCUUGCUUUUUCUAUGAUCCAAUGGAUGUUCAUAUUUGAUCUCUGGUUCCUCUGCCUUUUCUAAAUGCAGCUUGAACAUCUGGGAGUUCUUGGUUCAUGUACUGUUGAAGCCUACCUUGGAGGAUUUUGAACAUUACUUUGCUAGUGUGUGAGAUGAGUGCAAUUGUGCCAUGGUUGGAACAUUAUUUGGCAUUCACUUUCUUUGAUAUUGGAAUGAAAACUGACUUUUCCAGUCCUGUGGCCACUGCCUGAAUUUCCCAAAUUUGCUGGCCUAUUGAGGGCAGCGCUUUCACAACAUCAUUUUUUAGGAUUUGAAAUAGCUCAACUGGAAUUCCAUCACCUCCACUAGCUUGGUUUGUAGUGAUGCUUCCUAAGGCCCACUUGACCUCACACUCCAAGAUGUCUGGCUCUAGGUGAGUGACUGCACCAUCAUGGUUAUCCGCGUCAUUAAAAUAUUUUUUGAAUAGUUCUUCUGUGUGUUCUUGCCACCUCUUCUUGGUAUCUUCUGCUUCUGUUAGGUCCAUACCAUUUCUGUCCUUUGUUGUGCCCAUCUUUGCACAAAGUGUUCACUUGGUCUCUCUAAUUUUCCUGGAGAGAUCUCUAGUUUUUCCCAUUCUUUUGUUUUCCUCUAUUUCUUUUCAUGGCAUGGCAACCCACUUCAGUACUCCUGCCUAGAAAAUCCCAUGGUAGAGGAGUCUGGCAGGCCACAGUCCAUGGGGUCUCAAAGAGUUGGACAUGACUGAAAGACAGCAUGCACAUACACGGAAACAUUUACAUUUCCUGUAAAGUUAUCUGAGUUGGGUGAGCUGAACGUUGGAGAAUGGGCUCUAUCUGGCUGCUUGAAGAGCUCAAGGCCAUAAAAGUGUGUACUGUCAUUUUCUUUUUUUAUAUGUUUAUUUAUUUAUUUGGCUUUGCUGGGUCUUAGUUAUGGCUAAUAGGAUCUUUCAGUCUUUAGUUGUCACAUGUGAACUGUUAGUUGUGGCACAUGGGAUCUGGUUCCCUAACCAGGGAUUGAACCCAGGCCUCUGGCAUUGGGAGUGUGGAGUCUUAACCACUGGACCACCAGGGAAGUUCUUAAAUGUCGUCUUCUAACUGCCUGGUAAAGCUGUUUAUCUUUCAUGGGUUAGUACUUUAUAUCCAGGACAGGGUCUGCCUAAAUCAUGAAAAAACCCAGUUGUGUAUUAGAAACUUCUUAUCCUUCUUUCUUUUCUAAUUGGAAAUAUUAAUGGGUCAAUUAUUGCUUUGGACUCAAGAGGGAAAAUAAGCUCAGAAAAGACAAACUGCAGGCUGGGGUUAUGCCAAGUGUAUCCUCUGGAUGUCUUAUAGUGGGUUUCUUAAGAGAGGCAUGAUUUGUUGUUCAGUAAGGGCCACACUCUAGGAUUUUACCCUGAGUCUGGACACAGUGCAGGAUCACUUCAGUUAUCUUGGAAAUGAAAGUGGUGGUAGCCAGUGGAGAGACUCUUUUGGAGUAAGACAGUAACAUUAUCUAAAGUCACUUCCAGUUUGUAGAUAAAUAAAUAUGCACCAACUGAUAGGAUCAUGCAGAUUUUCUCAUCAGACCUGCUAAUGUAGUAAAUGAAAUAGUUUUUAAUAGCUCUAUUGAGAUAUAAUUCACAUACUAUACAAUUCACCCAAUUAAAGGAUAUGAUUCAAUAACUUUUAGCAUAAUCACAUAAUUGUGUAGCCAUCACCACAAUCUAAUUUUAGAAUAUUUUCAUCACACCAGAAAGAAACCUUGUAUCUGUUAGCUAUCACCAUCCAAUGUCCCCAUUUCACGCCCAGCCCUAAGAAAUCACUAAUCUACUUUCUGUCUCGAUUGAUCUGCCUACUACAGACAUUUCAUAUAAAUAGAAUUAUAUAAUAUUAUGAUAUUUUGUGACUGCCUUCUUUAAUUUAUCACAGUGUUUUCAAGGUUCAUCCUGUUGUGGCAUCUAACAAGGGCUCAUUCUUUGUUAUUGCCAAAAAAGUUCCUUUGUACGACUAUAAUACCCUUUGUUUUAUUGAGUUAUCAUUGAUUGGACACUUAGAUUAUUUCCACUGUUUGGCUACUAUGAAUAAUGUGGCUAUGCAGCACUAUAGCUAAGACAUGGGGACAAUGUAAGUAUCUAUCAACAGAUGACCAAGUAUCUAUCAACAGAUAAAGAAGAUGUGGCAUAUCAUUCAACCUUAAAAGAAGAUGUGGAAUAUCAUUCAACCUUAAAAAAGAGGAAAUCCUACCAAUAGUAACAACAUAAAUGGACCUUGAGAACAUUAUGUUAAGUGAGAUAAGGCAGAAAAAAACAAGUACCAUAUGAUCUAACUUAUAUGUAGAACCUAAAAAACAAACAAACUUAUAGAAAAAGAGGUCAGAUUUGUGGUUUCCAGAGGUGGGGUUGGGGGAGAAUGGAUGAAGGUGGUCAAAAGGUACAAACUUUCAGUUAUAAGAUAAAUAAAUACUAGGGAUGUGAUCUAAAACAUGAUGAUAGUUACAUUGCUAUAUGAUAUGUGUGAAAGUUAAGAGAAUGACUCCUAAGAGUUCUCAUCAUAAGGAAAAACUUUUUCUUCCUCUUUUUCUUGUCUUUGGUAUCUGUAUGAGAUGAUGGAUAUUAACUAAACUAUUGUGGUAAUCACUUCACAAUGCCUGUAAGUCAAAUCAUUAUGCUGUAUACCUUAAACUUAUACAAUGCAGUUAAUUAAUUGUAUAAGUAAAAACUUAUACAAUAUGUUAAUUAUGGGCUUCCCUGGUGGUUCAGAUGGUAAAGAAUCUGACUGCAAUGUAGGAGACCUGGGUUCUAUCCCUGGGUCAGGAAUAUCCCCUGGAGAAGGGAAUGGCUACCCACUCCAGUAUUCUUUCCUGGAGGAUUCCAUGGACAGAGGAGUUUGGUGGGCUACAGUCCAUGGGGGCACAGAGUUGGACAUGACUGAGUGACUAACACACACACACACAUGUUAAUUACACCACAAUAAAAAUGGAAAAAAUGCAGCUCAGCUCAGCUCAUUUCAGUUGCUCAGUUGUGUCUGACUCUUUGCGACCCAUGGACUGCAGCAUGCCAGGCUUCCCUGUUCAUCACCAACUCCCAGAGCUUGCUCAAACUCAUGUCCAUCGAGUUGGUGAUGCCAUCCAACCAUCUCAUCUUCUGUUGUCUCCUUCUCCUUCUGCCUUCAAACCUUCCAGCAUUAGGGCCUUUUCCAAUGAGUCAGUUCUUUAUAUCACGUGGCUGAAGUACUGGAGUUUCAGCUUCAGCAUCAGUCCUUCCAAUGAAUAUUCAGGACUGAUUUCCUUUAGGAUUGACUUGAUGGAUCUCCUUGCAGUCCAAGGGACUCUCAAGAGUCUUCUCCAACACUAUGAACAUUCAUGCUCAAGUAUUUGCAUGGACAUAUGUUUUUCAACUCUCUUGGUUAUACAUCUACGAGUAGAAUUGCUGGGUCUCUAUUGUAAUUCUAUGUUUAACCUGUCAGGAAUUGAGAAAACCAGAAAACAAUGGAAUUUUUUUCCUAAGAAAAUGUGAAGGACUGGCCAUAAAAGGAGAUCAAGGUUGGGACUGAAAGAGGCUAUCCUCAAGCCAGACUGCCCUAAGUCUAUCAUCUGUAUAUCAAGGGCAGUAACAAAAAGUACUUCAUGGGCAACACAGAAAGCAAAACUGCAAGCAAACUUUCCAGUAGUCCUAACAUCCCAAGAUUUUUUUUUGUUUGUUUUAGAUUCAAACAGGAAGGUAGAUAGAUUUUCUAUUCCUGUAAAUUAUUUCUACAUGGCAUGUCUUAGAAGUACUUCAGGAGAAACUGUGUAGACUUCAUUGCAUAGAGUCAUAUCUGAAUCUUAUAAAGAUGUAUAAGAAAUAUAAUGGCCACUGGUUCUUUGUGGCUUUGGCAAUUAAGUUAAUCAAAAGAAAAUAAUAUUUAACAGUCAUGUCCUCAAUUGUACUAGCCACUUUGCAAGUGCUUAAUACCCACAUGUGACUUGUGGCUACUAUGUUGGGCAUUUCCCUCAUUGCAUAAAGUUCUAUCAGACAGGGUUGUUGUGAAGCAGAGCUCCUAAAAUGGCGGUGAUUUAAUACCCCCUCAAAGAAAUCUGGCAAUGUGUGAAGACAUUUUGAUUUUUUCAACUUGGGGAAGGAAGGGUGCUUCUGUGUCUAGUGGGUAGAGGCCUGGGAUGCUGCCAAACAUCCUAUAAUGCACAGGGGAGUCUCCACAACAACUAGCCAUCCCCAAAUGUCAAUAGCUGCAGGACUGAGAAACUCUGUUCUGAAGCAAGGUUGUCCAAACCGGGGUAGCUUUUUAUCAAAAACAUCAAAAGAAUCACGUGGUCCUCUUUUUAACAAUUCAUAUACCUGAGUCCCACCCCUAAGAUUCUGAUUAAGGAAGUCUGAAGAGAAUCCAGGAAUUUGUGUUGUUCAAAAGCUUUCCAAGUGAUUCUAAUGACUGAGAAGAUUCAAAACUAUUAUGUGAAAGAGUCUGACUCUCAGCUCUUAAUUCAGAGGAAUAUCACCUGGUAAAUAGGAGCAGUACUCCAAGAAUAGAUUAAUGGCUCCAAGGCCAUUACCUCUUCUGUUUAAUUUCUCCAAUUACUUAUUUCUCAAUUAAUGGGGUCAUUAAGCACUUAAGAGUUGCAUUAAUGUCUCUCCUCUUUAAAAAAAUUCUUUUAUUCUGUGUAAAUCUAGUUUGCAAAUGAUUACAUUUGCAAACAUGUACAUGUACAUGUACACUUUCUGUUUACAAACAGAACAAAUGACCUAGAAAAAGUCUGGCAGCUGUCUCUGUUCACUGGUGUUUGAUGAGAUAUAGCUGAGCAAACAAGCAUACCAGCCCUGUACGUAGUAUGGCAUGGCAUAUUAAUAUUCAUUCCUUUGCUACCAACUAACUUAAUACAUAGAAGCAGAAUUCAUUUUAAGUGGUUUGAAGUUGCAUAGUUUAAGGUCAAUACAAUUCUUCUAAACUUAGAAAAGUAUAUAAAUGAAUUAAUUUUAGCUUUAAGACAUUUUUUCCUUUUCCAUUUUCUAUUAAUCUGUAAUAAAUUACAAAAAGGGAAUAGUUCUUGCUCUUAAAAAACUUAGGCGGUAGUGGAAAAUGAGACAUAAACACAAGUAUAUGAAAGAAAAAAGAUGUUAAAUAUUUCGAGAGGAUAUAAAUUUGAGAGGAAGAAAUCAUUCUGACUGGAGAGAUCUGGGGAAGUUUUCAAGGAAGUAGAAGCAUUUUCAUUCAUUCAAUAAGUGUUUGCUGGCCCUACCUCAUGCUAGGUCCACCAUAUCUGACAUAAUGUAAACAGCUCAUACAACUCAACAUCGAAAUAAAACCAAACAACCCAAACAAAAAAUGAGCAGAAGAACCAAAUAGACAUUUUAUCCAAAGAGGGAAUGCAGAUGGCCAACAACACAUGGAAAAAUGCUCAACAUCACUAACCAUCAGGAAGUGCAAAUCAAAACCACAGAGAGGUAUCACCUCACACCUAUCUGAAUGGCCAUUAUAAAAACAAAAACUAAAACACGAGUUAACGAAUGUUGGUGAUGAAAUGGAGAAAAGGGAACCCUCUUACACUAUUGGUGGGAAUGUAAAUUAGUGCAGCCACUGUAAAAGCAGAAUGGAGAGGUCUCAAAAAACUAAAAGUAGAACUAUCAUGAUCCAGCAAUUCCACUCCUAGGUAUAUAUUUGAAAAAAAACAAACGCUGAUUCAAAAGAUACAUGCACCCUGGUGUUCACAGUAGUACUAUUUAAAACUGCCAAGGUAUGGAAGCAACCCAAGU